rnacentral:rRNA from 1 species
UACAGAGGGUGCGAGCGUUGUCCGGAUUUACUGGGCGUAAAGGGCGUGCAGGCGGUCUGUUAAGUCUAGGGUGAAAGCUCCCGGCUCAACUGGGAGAGGUCCUUGGAUACUGGCGGACUUGAGGGAGGCAGAGGAGUAUGGAAUUCCCGGUGUAGUGGUGAUAUGCGUAGAUAUCGGGAGGAACACCAGUGGCGAAGGCGGUACUCUGGGCCUUACCUGACGCUGAGACGCGAAAGCGUGGGGAGCGAACCGG